rnacentral:rRNA from 1 species
GACGAACGCUGGUGGCGUGCCUAAUACAUGCAAGUCGGACGCAGUUGCGAACGCGUGAGUAACGCCUAGGUCACUACCUAUUAGCGGGGGAUAACUAUUGGAAACGAUAGCUAAUACCGCAUACUAGUAGCUGGACCUGCGUUGUAUUAGCUAGUAGGUAGGGUAAUGGCCUACCUAGGCAACGAUACAUAGCCGAGCUGGGAGGGUUAUCGGCCAAACUGGGACUGAGAAAAGGCCCAGACUCCUACGGGAGGCAGGAGGAGGGAAUCUUCGGGAAAGGGGGGAAAGCUGAACGAGGAAAGGCGGGGGAGUGAAGAAGGGUUUCGGAUCGUAAAGCUAUGUUGGUAAGGAAGCGGUACUUAAACAGAAAGGAACGGCUAACUACGUGCCAGCAGCCGCGGUAAUUC